UUUCAGAAAAGAAGAAAAACCAAACACAAACCUCUCAUCUUUCUCGAUCUCUCUCUUCUCAUUCUGCUUCUCUCAAUCUCAUCGUUCCUCUCUCUCGAUCACUCGCUCUCAACGUAAACAAAAACAACACAGAAAACUCACAGUUUCCACUACCGAUUCGGAACAAUAUAUCCUCAAUCAAAAGCUCUAAACCCUUAUUUGUUCAAUGAUUACAAGUAUAUUACGACAAGCGAAUCAGAAACGACAUGAAUAUAUGGACAAAAGUAAAAAAAAAGGAUGUUGUUAUUGAUGAAGGUUUUGUGCGUGAAUGAGGGAGUAUGGGGUGAUGAAGGUGAUGCGAGUGAGUUAGGGUGAAGUUGUUGAGUUGGUGAUUCGUUAGUGUGGUUUGUGAUUUGUGUGGUUCUGUGUGUGUGUUGAUAACAUAGGUUUUGGUAUGAAGGUGCGGUGGUGAUGUAGAGGUUUGGGUGAGGUUUGAAGUUAUUGAAGGGAGAGUGUCGGUAAUGGAUGGAAGACGUGAGGUUUGUGAAUGACUCAGGAAGGUAAGCUUGAAGAGUUGAGUGAAAGUGAGGUUUCACAGAAUUUCUCUAUGCUUUUUUUUCAGUUUGUUCAAGCAGAGUUUGGAAGUGAUUUUCGGUGUAUUUCGUGGCUGCCCCCUCUCUUCAGUUCUGAGGUUGUAUGGACAUCUUGGUGUAAAUUUCAGACUGCUAUGAAGCUGGUGAAGCAGAAUUUUGGAGUGUAAUGGCAUGGUUUUGGAACAGGACAGAGCAAGAG